rnacentral:rRNA from 1 species
GGCUUAGAGUUUGAUCCUGGCUCAGAGUGAACGCUGGCGGCGUGCCUAACACAUGCAAGUUGAGCGAGCUUUUGCAGAGUNCCGCAAGAGUUAGCGGCAAACGGGUGAGUAACACGUAGGAAACCUGCCCUAAAGAGGAGAAUACCUUCGAGAAAUCGAGGUUAAUACUCCAUAAGACCACAUCCCGGCAUCGGGAAGAGGUCAAAGGCCCGCAAGGGCCGCUUUGGGAUGGUCCUGCGUCCUAUCAGCUAGUUGGUGAGGUANCGGCCCACCAAGGCUUUGACGGGUAGCCGGCCUGAAAGGGCGAUCGGCCACACUGGAACUGAGACACGGUCCAGACUCCUACGGGAGGCAGCAGUGGGGAAUUUUGGACAAUGGGCGAAAGCCUGAUCCAGCGACGCCGCGUGGAGGACGAAGGUCUUCGGAUUGUAAACUCCUUUUGGAGGGGACGAAGUCCGUCGUAGGC